rnacentral:rRNA from 1 species
UACGUAGGGGGCAAGCGUUGUCCGGAUUUAUUGGGCGUAAAGAGCGUGUAGGCGGCCUGACAGGUCUGCUGUGAAAACUCGAGGCUCAACCUCGAGAUGUCGGCGGAAACCGUCUGGCUAGAGUCCGGAAGAGGAGAGUGGAAUUCCUGGUGUUGCGGUGAAAUGCGCAGAUAUCAGGAAGAACACCUAUGGCGAAGGCAGCUCUCUGGGACGGUGCUGACGCUGAGACGCGAAAGCGUGGGGAGCGAACAGG